rnacentral:lncRNA from 1 species
GAAACUAUAUAAGAAUGAAGCAUAUGUUAGAGAUGUAAACAAAACAAAAAAGUCACACAUUCUUCACUUAAAGCUUAAGCUUUUGGGAUAGUAACCGGUUCAUGUCAGCAUCCAUAAUCUUCAUAAACUUCAUAAACAACAAGAACGACACAUCUCUUUGAAAAGGUUUGGAUCUCAUCCCAGACAUUAGCUUAAAGGGUGAGGUUGCCCUCAUAUAUU